rnacentral:tRNA from 1 species
GCCCCCGUAGCUCAGUAGGAUAGAGCACAGGUUUCCUAAACCUGGAAUGUGCGUUCGAAUCGCGCCGGGGGCA